GGGAAACUGCCCGAUGGAGGGGGAUAACUACUGGAAACGGUAGCUAAUACCGCAUAACGUCGCAAGACCAAAGUGGGGGACCUUCGGGCCUCACACCAUCGGAUGUGCCCAGAUGGGAUUAGCUAGUAGGUGGGGUAAUGGCUCACCUAGGCGACGAUCCCUAGCUGGUCUGAGAGGAUGACCAGCCACACUGGAACUGAGACACGGUCCAGACUCCUACGGGAGGCAGCAGUGGGGAAUAUUGCACAAUGGGCGCAAGCCUGAUGCAGCCAUGCCGCGUGUAUGAAGAAGGCCUUCGGGUUGUAAAGUAUUUUCAGCGGGGAGGAAGGCGGUGGAGUUAAUAGCUUCACCGAUUGACGUUACCCGCAGAAGAAGCACCGGCUAACUCCGUGCCAGCAGCCGCGGUAAUACGGAGGGUGCAAGCGUUAAUCGGAAUUACUGGGCGUAAAGCGCACGCAGGCGGUCUGUCAAGUCGGAUGUGAAAUCCCCGGGCUUAACCUGGGAACUGCAUUCGAAACUGGCAGGCUAGAGUCUUGUAGAGGGGGGUAGAAUUCCAGGU
rnacentral:rRNA from 1 species